rnacentral:rRNA from 1 species
UGGUGGAUUGAUUUGUCUGGUUGAUUCCGAUAACGAACGAGACCUUAACCUGCUAAAUAGUUGGGUCAACUUUGGUUGGCUUUCGUGGUGGCUGCCUUCCCCGGCAAGCGCCUCGUCAACUUCUUAGAGGGACUAUCAAUGUUUGUAAUUGAUGGAAGUUUGAGGCAAUAACA